UACGGAGGGGGCGAGCGUUAUUCCGAAUUAUUGGGCGUAAAGGGCGCGUAGGCGGCCUUGUAAGUCAAAGGUGAAAUCCCUCGGCUCAACUGAGGAACUGCCUUUGAAACUGCAAGGCUUGAGGCCGGGAGGGGGUAGCGGAAUUCCCAAUGUAGCGGUGAAAUGCGUAGAUAUUGGGAGGAACACCAGUGGCGAAGGCGGCUACCUGGACCGGUUCUGACGCUGAGGCGCGAAAGCGUGGGUAGCAAACAGG
rnacentral:rRNA from 1 species